AUUGAACGCUGGCGGCAUGCCUUACACAUGCAAGUCGAACGGUAACAGGUCUUCGGAUGCUGACGAGUGGUGAACGGGUGAGUAAUACAUCGGAACGUGCCUAGUAGUGGGGGAUAACUACUCGAAAGAGUGGCUAAUACCGCAUGAGGUCUACGGAUGAAAGCAGGGGAUCGCAAGACCUUGUGCUACUAGAGCGGCCGAUGGCAGAUUAGGUAGUUGGUGGGAUAAAAGCUUACCAAGCCGACGAUCUGUAGCUGGUCUGAGAGGACGAUCAGCCACACUGGGACUGAGACACGGCCCAGACUCCUACGGGAGGCAGCAGUGGGGAAUUUUGGACAAUGGGCGCAAGCCUGAUCCAGCAAUGCCGCGUGCAGGAUGAAGGCCUUCGGGUUGUAAACUGCUUUUGGCGGGAACGAGAGGGACUGUGCCAAUACCACGGUUCGAUGACGGUACCCGCAGAAUAAGCACCGGCUAACUCUGUGCCAGCAGCCGCAGUAACAC
rnacentral:rRNA from 1 species